GUGUGACGGUGUAAAGGUUUGUGUGACGGUGUAAAGGUUAGUGUGACGGUGUAACAGUUCUGUAACAGUAUAACGGUUUGUGUGAUGGUGUAAAGGUUAGUGUGACGGUGUAACAGUUCUGUAACAGUAUAACGGUUUGUGUGACGGUGUAAAGGUUUGUGUGACGGUGUAAAGGUUAGUGUGACGGUGUAACAGUUAGUGUGACGGUGUAACAGUUCUGUAACAGUAUAACGGUUAGUGUGACGGUGUAACGGUUUGUGUGACGGUGUAACGGUUUGUGACGGUGUAACGGUUAGUGGACAUCUCACCGGGCGAUUUCAG